rnacentral:lncRNA from 1 species
CUAAACAAAGGUUCAUAGUCAUCCUAAGGCCCUAAGGCAACUAUAUAGUCCAUCAAAUGAAUGCAAACCUAAUGUUAGUAGUAACAUAUACUCUUGCUUUAAAAACCGUUUUAAAAGUAUAGUGGGAGUAUUAUGUACAACUAAAACAAUCAUAUGAACCAAUAGUUGUAAUAGGACCAAAAUUUUUUUAAUAGAGAUUAAAAUGUAUAUUGAAAUGUGAUGAGACCUAAAAACCCUCAACCAAACCAAUAUUAAGUUGAUAAGCGAGAGAUGUUUAGAAAUAUCUCUUCGUGGCCUUCCACCGUGGUGGGAUCCAAUCGUUUAUGACUU